ensembl:lncRNA
GGUAUUUUAGCUCCAAGCAAAAUGCAUCUUUUUGUCUGCCUUGCCCGUCUGGAUCAUUUUGCAACACCACCAGCUGCAGGGGGUGUCUGCUGUGCCCCAGUGGGCAAGAGGCUCUUCGGGAGGCGUCGGAGGAGUGCACGCCCUGCCGGCCAGGUACCUUCUGCAGCGGAGGGUGAGGGCUGCCAUAGCCUGGCUGGAAACGGGCAGCUUCAGCGCCAGAAGGAACGAUUUCUUCCCGAGAUGUGUCUCCCUUGCCCCAGCGGACCCUGGGGACGGGGGGUUGCCUGAGGCUGGGAAGCAGCAGUGGCAAAGGGGAUGGUCAGUGAGGGGAAGUGAGGAGAUGACUCUGCUCCUUCCAUCGAUGUCCUAAAUAACACCAAAGCGCAGCGGGUGAGUCAGGGGGAGGGCAGAGCGCUCCAGCCGCCCCCGCAACCACUGAUGGGAUUUCUAGUAGUCAAGCUGCACUUUAAACGCGCAGUAAAGAAUUUACCACUUUGGGUAAAUGGGACUUACCUGGGACUUCUGCGACCCAUCAUUCCCACAAAGCACAGGUAACUCAGCCGUGCUUUGAACUUUGCUCAGCAAGUUUCAAACAGCUGGAAAAGGUGUUUGAAUCCAGAAUUAGAGAGGAUGAAACGCUGCUGACCUCCAGCUCCAACCUUCCCUCUGCUUUAAAGCCAGAGCUCACUACUAAACCCAUCUCCCACUAUACUCCUACUCACACUUACUCUGUUUGCCAGAUCUAACCCCAGAUGUCCUUUAGUCUCUCUGUCCCUGUUUGUUCUCUUUCCUGCCCCUUUGCCACCCAGCAAGGACCAAAGUCCAGGCUCAGCUUUUGUUAUGUAUAUGAAGUAUUUAAUGACAUUUCUCCUUGUGGCUGUGGAAGCUGAAUCAUCCAUCUGCAAUUGCGAAGACCCUGGGGUCUGGUCCCAGAUCUUAAUUUUGUGCUUAUCUAUCUGCUAUUUUAGGUAUGUUCAAAGGUCCCAGCGACAACAAAUGCAAGCUUUGCAGGACAGGAGACUACCAAUUACAGCGGGGCAAGGAGAGCUGUGACCUGUGCCCAGAAAAUCACUACUGCCCUAGCCCAGACGUGACCCCGGUCAAGUGCCCUCCCGAUGCCUUCUGCCCCGCGGGCAGCACCGAGCCGACCUACUGCAUGGAGGUCUUCCUCUACAAGGCUGGGGACUCCUGCCAGCUGACGCCCCUGAUGGUCAUUCUCCUGGCUGUCUUCUCAGUAGGUGGAAUCCUUGCUGUCUUUAUAUUAAUUCUGAGAAGAAGGCAAGAAUCUAGCAAGAAAUCCUUAAAGUCUCUGUUGCUGCCCAGAGGCUCAGGAGGACACACGACGUACGGGGGGACCGAGCACACAGCACCAGUCUAUGCUGGCUGGUAGCGCAGGACGUGCCACCAGCAAGCACCCCCUUCCCUUCUGCCUGGGGCAGUACAGAUGUGUGUGUAUGGGCAAGGUGUUUAACCAGGAGCAUCCUAUUUCUGUAUAGCUAAAUUAAGUGCUGAGAAAUAAAACUCAAUUUCUGAGUUGUGGCUACUCGUAA